AUUUUAUUUAUUCCUCGUUGAACUCCUGCACUUGCCUUACUAUGCUCAGGUGAUCGCAGUUGAACAUAAUAGAAGACCCUGGUAUUGUCACCACUGCUACUAGUGCAGGUUGGAUAACAAAUCUGGACAAUCAUCAACAGCUUCACCCCCACAUUCUGUAAACCAGACAUUAACAGGUUUACACACAUAUGCAUUUUUAAAAAUCAGCACUGUCAGUACCAGAGGCAGAAUCAAAAUCAAACAGCUAGAACAUUAUUAACAACCAUCUUGCUGAGGAUCAACCUUGGAUUCAAUACUUCC